AUGGAAUGUGGGUGUGACUCACAGGAGCUGCAACUGCGGAAAGCAAAAACCCAUCUGUGCAUUCACUCACUUGGCAGACAAAUGGCAAGGUGUAUACAAGAGCUCCAAAGCAGUAACAGAAGUAGCCCAGUUGAGUACAAUGGCACAAGAAAAAUCAGAUUUGGAAGUUUUGGAGAAGGUUGAAAGUGAAACAUCAGAUUAGUCCUGCAUGGACAAUGAAGAUGAUAAUGAUUUUGACAUUGGCCAUGUGAACCAAAGUUCCUAUACAGUGAAAUGGAGCAAGAAUUAACCAAUACAGAUACAGAGAAUGCAGACCUUCCUGAUUCAGAUGAUGAAGAAAACAGCAAUUGAGCCCUUAUGUUUUCAGUCUACCUCUGAAGAAUUUUAUACCCAUGUUUCAUUUUUCACAGGAAUUGUGCAAGAAAACGAAGUUAUUCGGUCUAGGACUUUCUCAAGUGGUGUUUGCAACAGAAUUGCACUUAUACCUGCUAAAGGGUAAACCACAGAAUGUUUCAGUGGACUUGAGCAAACGACUGGGGCCAGUUUUCCUUCCUGUAACAUCUCAGCUUAGGGUGCCCUAACUCACCAACCAAACAGGUUUGCAUCUAGGAUUUUCCACACAACCAGUGAACUGCCUAAAAGCCACCUGCUGUGAAAAUCUUCCAUUAGAAAUGCCUCUCCUGAGUUUGCCUUCCUGGACACUGUGCAGGUCCGCCCUGUCUCAGUGCAGUCAAAUUCUUUGUUUCUCAAGUAAUUCCAUUUCCUUUUACUUCAACGUCAGUAUUUUAAAUUACUUAACAGUAUAUAAGAUGAGGCGUGAACAUGCUGUAGGGAUCUAUUUUUAAAUACAGUCAUUUGAACUAAUCACCCUCUAAAAGGCAACAAUGGUCACUGGAUUUAAAAAAAUCUUAACAUCAUUGUGUUAGUCUCCUGUCAACCACUGGACGGGAUGUUUGAGCAAAUCCAUUCAAAAGGAGGAAAGAUUUAUUACGAAUCAACGUUUCUGAGGUUUCAGUCUGCAGUCGGCUGACUCUGUUGUUCUGGGGCCAGUGGCAAGGCAGGAUGUCACAGUGGGAGCGCAUGGCAAAGGGAAACUCAGCUCAUGGUGGCCAUCAAGCAGAGAGAGAUGGGGAGGAGCCAAGGUCUGAAUAUUCCCAGGAGGACCAGCCCUCGGUGACGUAACUUCCCUCCCCCAGCCCCAGACCCUAAAGGCUCCAGCAUUUCCCAACAGCACCACAGGCUGGUGCCCAAGCCUUUAGGGUUAUGGGCCUUUUGGGCGACACUUAUUGUCCAAAUAGUAAUAAUCAGGGGUGACAACACAGCAAGGAAUGGCUAGAGAAAAUUCUAGGAGAAAAACAGCCCAGAAGAUGAAGGGGGGAAUAUCAGUAUCAAAAUCAAAUUUUCCAUAGAUCAUUUACUGAUACUAUGAAUGUCUGCAACUUCAGGAGACAAGAGGGACAGAAACAUGGCUUAUCUAAGGAAGAGAUGUUUAUCAGAGAUGGGCCCAGAACUGCACUAGAAAUGAAAAGAACUCUGCCCUCCUGGCUAGAGCAAACCAUAAGUACAUCUGCAUUUUUCUGAGCUCCUGAGUACUGCAGGGAAGGCAGCUGUCAUAUUGAAUGGAAUGUUAAAAAGGAGGCAGGGGAUUUAGCUCAGUGGCACCGUGCCUGCCUCGCAAGCACAAGGUCCUGAGUUUGAUCCCUGGUACCCCCCAAAUUAAAUUAAAUUAAAAAGGAAUAGAAAUAUAAAAAAAUGUGUGGCCCAGUCAUUGUGAAGUCACAGCCCAAGUUCCCCUAACAUGGUAAACCCCACUCUGCACAUUGGGCUCAAAGGGUGGAGCUCAAAUGACACUGCCAAGUCUGGUUGGUUGGACAGCUGAAUUCUCCCCAGAAGAAAGAACUCUCAUCCUACACUUCAGGGAAUCCCAACAAAUAGUUUUACAAAGGGAAAUGAGCAUCAGAGUCAAAGUCAACCAAAACUCACAAAGAAAUAUGUCCCAUUGAAUGAGAACCUGCAGAAACAAAAGUUAAAGAAUGAUGCAGUGACUAUAGGGCAGAGAAACAAUUAAGGCUGGAGAAUUUAAUUAGUAAAUUAUGUGGCUGUGGCAACUAUCCCACGGUAUACACGGGAAGAAAAUAGGUCACAAGGCUACUGUGAUUUUGAAGAAAUUGUACUAUGAAAGGAAUUAAGAUCCUAGACUUCAAAAAGCAUUUGCAUACCCAAAAUGUCAUGGACAAUAAGUGGACUUACUCCAAGGAAAAUAUAACCAUUAAAAUCCACUUCCAACGGGGCCAAGGAGGAAAGUGGACAAGGAAGAACCUGUACAGACGUACAACGCCGGUGGAACACAAUGUUGGGCACAGUAAGACCUUACAGAGGAAUGUAGGAACUUAGGAAUCUGGGAACGCAGAAUGCAAAGCAUUCCUAAGUCCUUCCUGAUGUUCCAUAGAUAAACAUGCUUGGAGCAACAGAGCUAAGCAGGGCGAGAAAGAUAAUUUAGUACAAGGAAAUUUGUUCCGGCACGAUUUUCCUCAUUUAUAGAGUAUGGCGUGCUGUUGUGUGACAAUGCUUCUGUGACUCUUUUUGAGACAUCUCGUCCCCACUCUGGGUGUCUCAGGAUCGUGUGUGUCCACCCUCUCAGACUUCUUUGAAGCCGUCUUCGAGGCGCUGCCUUAAUCCUCCCUGAGGUCUUGGUGAUGACAACACACUCAGAUAGCCUUUGCCCUAAACCUGUGCUUUAGAAUGACUUUCCAGUUUCAAAUGUUGGUCAUUUUCAUUGUCCACAGUUUGAGAUGAGAACCAGUCUCACUUCCUGAAAAUUGUGAAACCCUG
ensembl:lncRNA